AUUUACAGCCAUAUCACCCAGAAGGCUCCCGAUCUCGUCUGAGCUCAGAAGCUAAGCAUGGUCAGGCCUAGUUAGUACUUGGAUGGGAGACCAUGUGGGAAUUCUGGGUGUUGUAGGCU
ensembl:rRNA 5S_rRNA 5S ribosomal RNA